UACGUAGGGUGCAAGCGUUAUCCGGAAUUAUUGGGCGUAAAGAGCUCGUAGGCGGUUUGUCGCGUCUGCUGUGAAAACUGGGGGCUCAACCCCCAGCCUGCAGUGGGUACGGGCAGACUAGAGUGCGGUAGGGGAGAUUGGAAUUCCUGGUGUAGCGGUGGAAUGCGCAGAUAUCAGGAGGAACACCGAUGGCGAAGGCGGGUCUCUGGGCCGUUACUGACGCUGAGGAGCGAAAGCGUGGGGAGCGAACAGG
rnacentral:rRNA from 1 species